rnacentral:tRNA from 1 species
GGAGGGAUGGCCGAGUGGUUGAAGGCGCUGGUCUUGAAAACCUGAGUGGCCUCCGGGUCACCGUGGGUUCGAAUCCCACUCCCUCCG